rnacentral:rRNA from 1 species
UCUCCUGGAAAAGGGUGGUAAUGCCGGAUGCUCCAGUUGAUCGCAUGGUCUUCUGGGAAAGCUUUCGCGGUAUGGGAUGGGGUCGCGUCCUAUCAGCUUGACGGCGGGGUAACGGCCCACCGUGGCUUCGACGGGUAGCCGGCCUGAGAGGGCGACCGGCCACAUUGGGACUGAGAUACGGCCCAGACUCCUACGGGAGGCAGCAGUGGGGAAUAUUGCACAAUGGGCGCAAGCCUGAUGCAGCGACGCCGCGUGAGGGAUGGAGGCCUUCGGGUUGUAAACCUCUUUUAUCGGGGAGCAAGCGAGAGUGAGUUUACCCGUUGAAUAAGCACCGGCUAACUACGUGCCAGCAGCCGCGGUAAUACGUAGGGUGCAAGCGUUAUCCGGAAUUAUUGGGCGUAAAGGGCUCGUAGGCGGUUCGUCGCGUCCGGUGUGAAAGUCCAUCGCUUAACGGUGGAUCCGCGCCGGGUACGGGCGGGCUUGAGUGCGGUAGGGGAGACUGGAAUUCCCGGUGUAACGGUGGAAUGUGUAGAUAU